UACGUAGGGUGCAAGCGUUGUCCGGAAUUAUUGGGCGUAAAGAGCUCGUAGGCGGCUUGUCGCGUCGGCUGUGAAAAACCUGGGGGCUCAACCCCCGGGCCUGCAGCCGAUACGGGCAAGCUAGAAUUCGGUAGGGGAGACUGGAAUUCCUGGUGUAGCGGUGAAAAUGCGCAGAUAUCAGGGAGGGAAACACCCGGGUGGGCGAAAGGGCGGGGGUCUCUGGGGGCCCAUUAUU
rnacentral:rRNA from 1 species